UACGGGGGGAGCAAGCGUUGUUCGGAUUUACUGGGCGUAAAGGGCGCGUAGGCGGUCAGCACAAGUCAGUUGUGAAAUCUCCGGGCUUAACUCGGAAAGGUCAACUGAUACUGUGCGACUAGAGUGCAGAAGGGGCAACUGGAAUUCUCGGUGUAGCGGUGAAAUGCGUAGAUAUCGAGAGGAACACCUGCGGCGAAGGCGGGUUGCUGGGCUGACACUGACGCUGAGGAGCGAAAGCCAGGGGAGCGAACGGG
rnacentral:rRNA from 1 species